UACGUAGGGGUCGAGCGUUGUCCGGAGUUACUGGGCGUAAAGCGUGCGCAGGCGGCUCAUCGCGCUCGGCGUGAAAGCCCCCGGCUCAACCGGGGAGGGUCGUCGAGGACGGGUGAGCUUGAGGGUAUCAGGGGUUGGUGGAAUUCCUGGUGUAGCGGUGAAAUGCGCAGAUAUCAGGAAGAACACCCGUGGCGAAGGCGGCUCUCUGGGACGGUACUGACGCUGAGACGCGAAAGCGUGGGGAGCGAACAGG
rnacentral:rRNA from 1 species